rnacentral:SRP_RNA from 1 species
CCGUGCAGCCGGGGAGAUAGCGGUGCCCUGUACCUGCAAUCCGCUACAGCAGGGGUCAUGCCGAACCGAGGCCGUUUCUCUGCGGAGCAGCCCUUCACAAGUGAUGUUGACGUCUGGGUCCCUCGCAACAGGAUCCUGUGAACCGUGUCAGGGUGGG